rnacentral:rRNA from 1 species
CUCAGGAUGAACGCUAGCUACAGGCUUAACACAUGCAAGUCGAGGGGCAGCAUGGUCUUAGCUUGCUAAGGCCGAUGGCGACCGGCGCACGGGUGAGUAACACGUAUCCAACCUGCCGUCUACUCUUGGACAGCCUUCUGAAAGGAAGAUUAAUACAAGAUGGCAUCAUGAGUCCGCAUGUUCACAUGAUUAAAGGUAUUCCGGUAGACGAUGGGGAUGCGUUCCAUUAGAUAGUAGGCGGGGUAACGGCCCACCUAGUCUUCGAUGGAUAGGGGUUCUGAGAGGAAGGUCCCCCACAUUGGAACUGAGACACGGUCCAAACUCCUACGGGAGGCAGCAGUGAGGAAUAUUGGUCAAUGGGCGAGAGCCUGAACCAGCCAAGUAGCGUGAAGGAUGACUGCCCUAUGGGUUGUAAACUUCUUUUAUAAAGGAAUAAAGUCGGGUAUGCAUACCCGUUUGCAUGUACUUUAUGAAUAAGGAUCGGCUAACUCCGUGCCAGCAGCCGCGGUAAUACGGAGGAUCCGAGCGUUAUCCGGAUUUAUUGGGUUUAAAGGGAGCGUAGAUGGAUGUUUAAGUCAGUUGUGAAAGUUUGCGGCUCAACCGUAAAAUUGCAGUUGAUACUGGAUAUCUUGAGUGCAGUUGAGGCAGGCGGAAUUCGUGGUGUAGCGGUGAAAUGCUUAGAUAUCACGAAGAACUCCGAUUGCGAAGGCAGCCUGCUAAGCUGCAACUGACAUUGAGGCUCGGAAGUGUGGGUAUCAAACAGGAUUAGAUACCCUGGUAGUCCACACGGUAAACGAUGAAUACUCGCUGUUUGCGAUAUACAGCAAGCGGCCAAGCGAAAGCGUUAAGUAUUCCACCUGGGGAGUACGCCGGCAACGGUGAAACUCAAAGGAAUUGACGGGGGCCCGCACAAGCGGAGGAACAUGUGGUUUAAUUCGAUGAUACGCGAGGAACCUUACCCGGGCUUAAAUUGCAGAUGAAUUACGGUGAAAGCCGUAAGCCGCAAGGCAUCUGUGAAGGUGCUGCAUGGUUGUCGUCAGCUCGUGCCGUGAGGUGUCGGCUUAAGUGCCAUAACGAGCGCAACCCUUGUUGUCAGUUACUAACAGGUUCCGCUGAGGACCCUGACAAGACUGCCAUCGUAAGAUGUGAGGAAGGUGGGGAUGACGUCAAAUCAGCACGGCCCUUACGUCCGGGGCUACACACGUGUUACAAUGGGGGGUACAGAGGGCCGCUACCACGCGAGUGGAUGCCAAUCCCAAAAACCUCUCUCAGUUCGGACUGGAGUCUGCAACCCGACUCCACGAAGCUGGAUUCGCUAGUAAUCGCGCAUCAGCCACGGCGCGGUGAAUACGUUCCCGGGCCCUGUACACACCGCCCGUCAAGCCAUGGGAGCCGGGGGUACCUGAAGUGCGUAACCGCGAGGAGCGCCCUAGGGUAAAAC